UAAUGAUCGGUUAUCGCCCUUUGUUUAUUGACACUUUGAAACUUGAUGAAUUCAGCGAUUUCAAAACAGCAAAGAGAAUGAAAGUUUUCGUAGUUUUAUGUAUCAUUAUGGUAAGACUUUAUACCCCGAAUGUAAAACACUAUCAGCUUCUAACUCACAGAAUUCAUAAAACAGUUCCAAAACAGUUCGUCAGUUGAUAAUUUAGGGGGGAGAUGAAGCAUUGCACUUGUUUCUGUAACCGCAACUAAUUAUCUACUCCAAAUAAUUAUGACGUCUUGGAAGGAUAUUUUAAAUUUUUGCUUUGACGCCUUCCUGUGACGCAGAAGGCGUCAAAGCAAAAGGGUAAAUGUUGAUUACUUGUCUCUCCUCUUGGUUACAGGUAGUCGUAGGAAAGCGUCCCAGUAAAAAAAUAAAAUAGCCUUGCCAGACAUUUGGACUAGGUUACAGGUAGCUUCUAAAGACAAUACAGCUUAUCUUUCUUGAGGGGGGAUAGGACCUUUAUCGGGACUCCGGGAUCGGGAAUUUUUAAGCUCAGGAUUUCGGGAUUGACCCUUCCAGGAUCCGGGAAUUCUUUUUUUCGAAUUUCGGGACCUCGGAAUUUCGUGUUUUUAAGCCCGGGAAUUCGGGAUCUGGUGUUUUUAAGCCCAGGAUUUUGGGAUCAGGACCCCUCCUACCAUCCCUCUCUAUUUGUCCGCCAUUACUGGAUAUCAUACAGGUUUCCGUAAAAAUUUGACGUCAUAAAACAAAAUAUCUGAGGCCACAAUGGAAAAAGGAUUGUUGUAUACAUCAAAAGUUCAAGCGGCCGAUUCAGCCAGGAUAAGCAAUAUGGUGCAUCAAGUUCACAUACUUUAAUGAUGUUAUAAAGACAAAUCUACAUGUCAGUAUUUAAUACAAAUACACAUUAAAUCAUCACUUCACCUUAUUAACCACUAAUAUGAGGCAGGCAUUACCUGUAAAUGGGGACGAAGUCUGUAUGAAUUAUUUUUUGGUAUAAACUUAAAAAUAUUUGUUAAAAAAAAGAAACGGAAAUACCGUAAAGUUUCCAAUUUUGGUUCUGUUGUUCAGGGAUUUUAGUUGUGAUGUUAUUUAGGUUAUGACGUCAUAGAUAUGCAAUGUUAACAAAGAAACGCUAUCAUCAGGUAACCUUUUUUCAUAUCAAGGAAUUAUCAAAAAUGAAAUUGGUAACGGUUCCUUCCUACAUGUAUUUCAUACUAGACUGAUAAAUAUAUAUUUUACUCAAAGUUUCAUACAAACGAGACCGGAAAAAGGAAGUACAUUGUAGAUUUCAGUGCAGAUGCGGGAAUUCAAAACAUGACAUAAAUUUUUUUUUCCCGAUUUUGAGUUUAUUAGUACAAUGAAAAUUCCCGAUUUUUUUUCUAUUUUUGUUGUUGAUUUUUCUACUGUUAUUGGGGACUUUGUCCCCAUAUAAUAAUAAAUUGGGCAAAAUUACAGUCUGCACCGUUACCCACUAGUCCGAUGCCCCAGACUAGUAAAUAUUAAUUCGAACUGGUCAAAAUUUUCUAUAGUCAUAUAGGGACAAGUUUUGAUAUUUAGUGUCUGGACUAGUAGAUGAAAAAGUUUUUGGUGCAGACUGAAAUUAUCUCCCCUCUUCUUAAUAAAUAAUAUUGAAAAACCUUAAUUUUCUACUUACUUAACAUUAGUUAACUUUACUUGUUUUAUAAAAUAAACGGGCUACUUAAUUUUAUAUGGGAAAGGGAAAAACCAGAUGUGAAAGCUUGACAGUUUCAAAUAUUUAGCUUUAAGUUUUGUAUUCAAACAAGCCAAAAUUGUAAGCCGUAACUAAAACAUCUGCCAAAUUGCAUAUAUAGUUGAAGCUGGCUAGGAGGAAAAUAGUCCUAAUUAAUAGGAACCUACAUGUACCUUGUGAAUCUAUUACAGACAAGUGGCUCUUGCAUAAAAAGCAAUAAUUUAAAGUAUGAGUAGGCCUGAACCCUUUCCUACAUCAAAAUUUUUGUUUUGCAUAGGAUUUUUCAACAAAAUAUUGAAAAUAUGCUUUGAAGUAUUAAUGCAUUGCGAAAAACAAAUAUUCCAUCAAAUAAAUUUUAGUCGGAUAGUCUUAUGAAUAAUCUUUUCAUCACCAAAACUCAAUUUUGUCAUGAAUCCAUCUGUGUCCAUUGUUUAAUAUUCACAUAGACCAAGGUGAGCGACACAGGCUCUUUAGAGCCUCUAGUUCAUAAAUCUAAGUAAUCUUUUACAAAAAUCUUCUCCUCUGAAAUUACUGCGCCAAAUAAAUCCAAACUUGGCCACAAUCAUCUUUGGGGUAUCUAGUUUAAAAAAUGUGUGGCUUGACCCGGUCAACCAAUCAAGAUGGCCGCCACGGCUAAAAAUAAACAUAAGGGUAAAAUGCAGUUUUUGGCUUAUAACUCAAAAAACUAAAACAUUUAGAGAAAAUCUGACAUGGGGUGAAAUGUUUAUCAGGUCAAGAUCUAUCUGCCCUGAAAUUUUCAGAUGAAUCUGAAAAUUUAUUUUAUUUUUCCAGGCGCAUAGCUCCCUAUAGGCCAACACACAGGUGCUUGCACAUUGGCAUGCUGAACCAAAAAAAAAUAUAUUCACGAUUUUCAUCAUUCUUUGUUAAGAGUGUAUAAAAUGGAAUACAUUUCUACUUAAUACCAUCCAAUUAGCUAGCCUAAUUUAUUUUCAUCACUGCUAGAACAAACAACUGUCUGUGAACUCAAACGCAUUUUAUAAUACUUAAAUUAUUUUCAUUCUUCCUAAUAUUUUUUUUUUAUAUGCCCCGCCAAACGCGACGUCAUGUGAUAUUUAGGCUUAACCCACAUGUACGUUCUUACAUCUAUUAGACAUUGGUUUCCGCUCUCUUACUUUAGUUUACAUCAACCAAAUUUUACGAAACUUAUACACAGUGCUUGUUAACAAAAUACAGAUCAAGUUGAAAUUGGGGUACUGUCACUUUGGUUAUUCAAGAGUUAUAAAUGCAGAAAUCUGUUUCUGCUCUCAUUUAACUUCAGUUUGCCUCAACCAAAUGUUUCAAAUCUUAUAAACAAUGCUAAGUACCAUAAAACACAGAUCAAGUUAGUUUUGAAGCCAAUUGUAUGUUUUUCCAGGACGUCCUUUUUAUUUUUAUUUUUGGUCUUAAUUUAGUGUCUGGUUUAAUUGUUGAGCCUGCGACUUUUGUCGCAGAAAGCUCGACAUAGGGAUAGUGAUCCGGCGGCGGCGGUGUUAGCUCACUUCUUAAAAGCUUUAUAUUUUAGAAGGUGGGAGACCUGGAUGCUUCAUACUUUGUAUAUGGAUGCCUUAUGUUACAAAGUUUCUGUCAGUCACAUGUCCAAUGUCCUUGACCUCAUUUUCAUGGUUCGGUGACUACUUGAAAAAAAAGUUAAGAUUUUUUGUAAUGUUAAAUUCUCUCUUAAUAUUGUAAGUAAUAGGAUAACUAUAUUUGGUAUGUGCGUACCUUGCAAGGUCCUCUUGCCCGUCAGACAGUUUUCACUUGACCUCGACCUCAUUUCAUGGAUCAGUGAACAAGGUUAAGUUUUGGUGGUCAAGUCCAUAUCUGAGAUACUAUAAGCAAUAGGUCUAGUAUAUUUGGUGUAUGGAAGCACUGUAAGGUGAACAUGUCCAACUGGCAGGUGUGAUCUGACCUUGACCUCAUUUUCAUGGUUCAGUGGUUAUAGUUAAGUUUUUGUGUUUUGGUCUGUUUUUCUUAUACUGUAUGCAAUAGGUCUUCUAUAUUUUGUGUAUGUAAUGGUUGUAAGGUGUACAGGUCUACCUGGCAGGUGUCAUAUGACCUUGACCUCAUUUUGAUGGUUCAGUGGUCAAAGUUAAGUUUUUGAGUUUUGGCCUUUUUUUCUAAUACUAUAUGCAAUAGGUCAACUAUGUUUGGUGUAUGGAAAUAUUUUAUGACCUACCUGUCAGUCGCGCAGGUUUUAUUUGACCUUGACCUCAUUUUGUACGGUUCAUUGCUCAGUGUUAAGCUUUUGUGUUUUGGUCUGUUUUUCUAAAACUAUAAGCAACAAGUCAAUUUUAUUUGUUGUAUGGAAGAAUUGUUAGCUGUACAUGCCUACCUGGCAUGGUUCAUCUGACCUUGACCUCAUUUUCAUGGUUCAAAGGUCAAUGUUUAGUUUUCUUGGUUUAUGCUAAGUUUAUGUGACAGUUGUAAUAAAGCUUUAUUAUUAGGACUAUCAACAUAAUAUCAAUGAUUAGUAAAGAAGGCGAGACAUUCCAGUGUGUGCACUCUUGUUAAAAAAAAGUACGAUUCACAUCAAUCGCAAGUUUGCUCAAUGGACAAUACGCUAGUGUAUAACACUUUGCAAUCAUAUGCCAAUGUCGCUGUGUGAGACAAUCCAUGUGACAAGCCCAGUGCUGUAUCCUUCUGUAGAUACUAUUUAAUUUUAGUAUUGUGUUGACAACACAGAUAAUAAGUGCUGCAAAUUUUAUGGGGGGAGGGGGCUAGGAUGAAAUUUGAAAAAAUAUAAAAAGGCAGGACCAAACAGAGUGAAAAAUAAAAAGGCAGGACAGAGAUUACAUACAGCUAAUAAAAAAAGGCAGGACAAAAUUUUUCAUCCUAGCCCCCCAUAAAAAUCAAAUGGUAGCUCCCUUAUAUUCAUCUGGAUUAAAGCAACGGAGAAGUUUGUUCCUGUUAAGACCUGAAGAGCAUAUUUGAGGGUUUGGAUGGGGUUAAAUGAUUAAAGAAUAAUGCCCUUUAAAAAUGAAGAUUAGAGAAUAAAUGGCCAUAAAAAUGAAAAUGAGAGAAAAAAGGGGGUAAUUUUUUGAAGAUUAGAAAAAUGAAUUUUCUAUAAGUCCUAUGUAGCAUAACUUUCUUAUGACCGAAAACCAUAAAAAAAAAAUAAUUCUGCAUUAAAAACAGAUCCACAAAGUUUUUUGGCAUCGCUCUGCUGACAGAUGAUUCCACAUAAAUUAUCUUAGCUACAAGUUUGUACGCCCCUGUUUUCCAUCACUAAUAAGCGACAAGAAGAAGAAUUUAACGUUAAGAAGCACAAGAAAAUAAAUUAAGCGAUAACAAAGCUAAUAUUCUAUCAAUAUUAAAAUAUAAAUUUAUAGGAAAGUCAAUAUUUAUAUAAAGAGGGGAGCGCUCAUGAUCAGUAUUAAGAUAUUGACAAAUAUAAUGCCUACCCAGGUUAAAAUGAGCACAGAGAAUGGCAUGAAAGAAUUAUUUCUUAAUUAUGCAGGAUGUAACAUACAUUUACUAUAUGAGUAGUGGUAUUACCAGUAAUUACACCUGACCUGUAGCAAUUCUUAGUCUUAAUUUUCACAAUUUUUCUUUUAUAUAUUUUCAGUCAAUUAUUAGUUAGCUGAAUGUUAUGAAAUAAGACCCAUGGUUGACACUACCAAUUGACAAUAGACCGGUAAAAGAUGCCACCAAUUGACAACAGACCAGUAAAAGAUCCCACCAUUUGUCAACAGACCAGUUAAAGAUGUCCAUUUAUAGAUACAAAGAAAGAGAAAUAAAAGUAUAAUAUUGACAAAACAGUUGUUUGAUGGAAGUACAAACCAAUUCGAAAAGGUUUGAUAUUGGAUAAUAUAUAUAUCAUUAAAAAUAUUUCAACUGAUGGAAGUACAAAUCAAUGUGAAAGGUCUGAUAUUGGACUAUAUUUAAUAUAAAUAAGGCUAUGUAAACUAGAAGUUUUCUUGACUAGACUACAGAGGACUGAACACAGUCAUCCCAUGAGAUGUCAUGCUCAUGACAUUACAUGGGAAGCAUAUAGAUUAGAAAUUUCUGUUGUGGAGAAAGAAGUAAGGCAAAUAAAAGGAACACAUGCACAUUUAUAUAAGUGAUUAAAGUACAAUUUUACAGUAUGUAUCAGAGAAUUCAGCCGAAGGUAAAACCUUCAAAAGACACAAAAAUAGUUAUUGUUCAUAAACCUCAGACAUUUCAUGUAUGUGGUCAUUGUAAAGAAAGUUUCACAGAGAAAGAACACUUACAGAAUCAUAUAAGAAUACAUUUUGUCAAGAAACCUCAUAUAUGUGUUGUAUGUGGUGAAAGAUUUACUACUAAAGAGCAUUUACUGGAACACAGGAAAAAACAUAUUGCUGAUAUACCUUACACAUGUGCUGUGUGUGGUAAAAUUUUUAGAAUUACUGAACAAUAUCAGAAACACAUGAGAACACAUAUUGCUUAUAAACCUCCGGAUGAAAAGAUAACUGAGAAAGAACACUUACAGAAUCACAUGAGAACACAUAUUGCUUAUAAACCUCCAGAUGAAAAGAUGACUGAGAAAGAACACUUACAGAAUCACAUGAGAACACAUAUUGCUUAUAA
rnacentral:lncRNA from 1 species